rnacentral:rRNA from 1 species
UACGAAGGGAGCGAGCGUUGUUCGGAAUCACUGGGCGUAAAGCGUGCGUAGGCGGUUUUGUAAGUCAGAAGUGAAAGCCUGGGGCUCAACCUCAGAAUUGCUUUUGAGACUGCAAAGCUAGAGUAUUGGAGAGGUCAGUGGAAUUCCGAGUGUAGAGGUGAAAUUCGCAGAUAUUGGGAAGAACACCGGUGGCGAAGGCGGCUCUCUGGACCGAUACUGACGCUGAGGCGCGAAAGCGUGGGGAGCAAACAGG